AUUGGUGGGGGUGUAGCCGUGAGGAGCCUGGUCGCUGUAGUGGCACCGGCUUGGUGCACAACAAACUUCUUUGACUGCCAGACACACUAUUGGGCUUUGAGACAACAGGCCCGUGCCCCUUUUUGGGGGGUGGCAUCCGGUUGCGGGUGUCGGCGUGUUGUUGCCUCACUUUGGUGGUGGGGUGUGGUGUUUGAUUUG
rnacentral:misc_RNA from 1 species